CGGCACCGCGAGACGCACACUGACACCCGACACCUACUCCAGUGGCCUCCUCCGCCUUUAGCACUCAUACUAACAUCACACUAGUGUUCUAAACAGUAUGGUCAAACAGUCCACUAGUAAGCCUACAACUCCAGUAAGGGUCACAGGAAGCCUGGAGCCUAUCCCAGGGGACUCGGGGCGCAAGGCGAGGGACACCAUGGAAGGGGGGCCAAUCCAUCAGAGGGCACAAUCACACACACAUUCACAUACUAUGAACAAUUUAGAGAUGCCUGUCAGGCUACCACACAUGUGUUUGGACUGGGGAGGAAACAAGAGUACCCUGAAGAAACCCCCGAAGCAUGGAGAGAACAUGCAAAUGCCACAUACACAGGGUGGAGGCAGGAAUCAAACCCCCGCCCCCAGAGGUGGAAGGCAAAUGUUGUAACCACUAAGCCACCAUGCUCCCCAUUCAGGCUAAUGACUAUUAAAAUGGAUUGAUGUUUUCUA